UGGGGAAUAUUGGACAAUGGGGGGCAACCCUGAUCCAGCAAUGCCGCGUGUGUGAAGAAGGUCUUCGGAUUGUAAAGCACUUUCGACGGGGACGAUGAUGACGGUACCCGUAGAAGAAGCCCCGGCUAACUUCGUGCCAGCAGCCGCGGUAAUACGAAGGGGGGCUAGCGUUGCUCGGAAUGACUGGGCGUAAAGGGCGUGUAGGCGGUUUACACAGUCAGAUGUGAAAUCCCCGGGCUUAACCUGGGAGCUGCAUUUGAUACGUGUAGACUAGAGUGUGAGAGAGGGUUGUGGA
rnacentral:rRNA from 1 species